rnacentral:misc_RNA from 1 species
UCCGAGUUGACCCCGGCAGUCUCCUACGAGUCCCCGGCAUUACCCGCUGGCAACAUAGGACGAGGGUUGCGCUCGUUGCGGGACUUAACCCAACAUCUCACGACACGAGCUGACGACAGCCAUGCAGCACCUGUGCUGGCUGCCCUUGCGGGCUCAUUACCGUUUUCGGUUCUUAACACCAGCAUGUCAAACCUGGGUAAGGUUCUUCGCGUUGCGUCGAAUUAAACCACAUGCACCACCGCUUGUGCGGGCCCCCGUCAAUUCCUUUGAGUUUCAACCUUGCGACCGUACUCCCCAGGCGGAUGACUUCGCGCGUUAACUGCGUUACUAAAGGAUUUAACUCCUCCAACAACUAGUCAUCAUCGUUUAGGGCGUGGACUAC